CCACCUCCGGAGGCUGCCGGUGGCCCCCAGGCUGGGCUGGGUAUCUUUUCGAAAGGCUCACCCUCAAGCACAACUAGGAGC
rnacentral:pre_miRNA from 1 species